AAGGUGGCGGCGCGACGCCGUGUCCGGGCCCCCGCUCGCGUGUCGUGCCCUGAGUGGCGUUGGCCGAGCAGGCACUGCUGACCCCACCCGGGUGCGCCCCGCGCCCCCCUUGAAAUCGCCCUGCGACCUCGCUGAGGCCCGGAUAGCGCUCCACGUGGUGGGUCGGGGUGGGGCUCCUUCCCCCUCCCAGGCCUGCUGUCCCCUGCAGGGCCAGGAACUUCCCUCGUUUUUCUGAACCUUGCGGCUAUUAUCCCCAUUUUGUUGGUGAGAAGACUGAGUAGCAGAAUGCCAAAGUGUCCAACGCGAGAACAAGAAGACUUCUCCCUGGCACCUCCCAUCUGCAGAGGUGAAAAAAUGGCUCUGCCAAGUUAAGGAACUUUCUUAGAUUUGAACCCAACUGGGUUUUGUCUGCCUGCAGACCCCAGCUCCUCUAACCACCCGGACCGGGCGGGUAGUUAAAAUAUUGUCGUGAUUGUGGUCAAAAUCUUCAGUGAGCAGGAGAACCAGCCCAUAAACAACGCCAAAGGGAAAAUUUUCACCACUGUCAAAAUGGGAAACAAUUGCCUAAGCCUCAGAGAGUGACAACUGAAAACAGUGGCUUAGCACGCACGGUUCCUGGCACAGAGGAAGUGCUCAGUAAAUGUACAAGAGGCUGAAGGAAUUGACUUCUCCAAGGAGUCAAACCGGUUGUUGAAUGCUGCCCAGGAGAUUUUUACCCCAUGUGACAGAGUAGCGCUGCCCCAAUAGAGUUUUCUUGGCUGUGAUCUUCACAGAAGCAGAUCACCAGGUGAUUCUCCCACAGAACCGCUGGAUGGCUGCAGGAAAGGAUGGGCUAGAGAGACUGGAAGCUUCCGGCUGCAACACCAGAAAAUUUGACGAAAUUAGCAACUAUAAAAACACUGGCAACAACCAACAGUGUGUGCUUGUGGCCCAUGCAGACCAAACGGCAUGAUCCCAAGAGUCAUCGUAACCGGGGCUGUCGACAGGGGAGACCUGGGCCAGGCCACACUACAGCAAUGUUCCUGUCCCUCGCACAGGCCCCGGUUCCAGGUGGAGGAGGAACAAGAGUGACUGGGUAAAGAAAAAGCCAACUUUGAGCUGAGAGGGCAGUGGCCACUGUGCAUCCCGAGGAAGGUGGAUUGUGUCCUUUGUUCUGGGAGUGCUUGGAUUUGGACAGAGACAAAUGGGUGUGGAACCUGGAGCAGUGACCAGCUCUGCCUUACAGGAGAAGAACUCCCACCUCCCUGGGCAACCCAGGAAUGGGGAGGGAGGGAGGCGAGGGGUGGGAGGGAUGGAGGAGAGAAGCGGGAGCUGGAGCCAGAGGAAUCUGGGGGGGAAGGGGGUAAACAGGAAUGUCUGACCUUCAAUGUCAAAUUUUUUGCUUUACUGAAAUGCAUUCUCCAUCUUGUUCACAAACCUAGAAACUCUGCAGGUCUCCUUAAGAAGUUGUGAAAUUCUAAAGCUCUUCCUCUUUGGGGCAGGCCCAGUUCAAGGUCCACGAACUGCAACAAUCCUGCUGGGUCCCGUCCCUCCCUUCUGCCACUACUUGGUGGCUGUUUCUCCUGAGGUGCCUGGAAAUACUUGGCAAAAUGGUGACAGUGCACGAGUUGACUUUUUGAUGCCUCUGCGUCCCCACUACCCUGGACAAGCACGUAGGGCUCACAAAGGAAAGUCGUCACAGUGGCCACUCUUCCUGUGUCAGGCUGUGCUAAAUAUGUCACCCACAUUCUCUCACCUGACCCUCAGCCUGGCCCAAAGACAGAGCACCGUGAUCCCCAUUUUACAGCUGGAUAUACUGAGGCUCAGAGACGCUAACUGCCCAGCUACUAAGUGAUGGGGCUGGGAUUCAAAGCCAGGCCCAAACUCAGGGUGUGUGCCCCUAACCAUCAGGCCACCAUGCUCCUGCACUGCCUGGUUCAGACCCCAGCUGACCAAUCGUUAUGACCCAGAAGGGACUCCAAGCAGGGGGAACAUGGCCAGUCGCAAAAUUCUAAUGGAUGAACCAGGAUUUUGAUUUCUGAAGCCUUGUCUUCCCAGCACCAAGCAAGCCACUUUGGGUCUCUGAGGCCAGGCAAUGCUUUAGUGUUCCCGAGUAAACAAAGCUGAGAUCAGGGUAAAGGACAGGUCCUCUCCCUAUACCAGGAGCUCCCCAAGACAGGGCCUGUGUGUUGUCCAUCACCUUAGCCUGGGUACCCAGGGCGGACACAGGACAGACGCUCACCAAUACCACUUAGAGUAAAUAAUGUCCCAACGAAACCCUAAUGAUCCUGCAUCAACUGUGGACAAGAAACAGAACAACGAAACUCCUUUCAACGUACCCCCAACACCCCAACAGGCUCCGGGCCGGGCUGGCUGCCCCUCUGUGGCCUCAAUCGAGGUACCUGAGA